rnacentral:rRNA from 1 species
UACGUAGGGUGCAAGCGUUAAUCGGAAUUACUGGGCGUAAAGCGUGCGCAGGCGGUUAUGCAAGACAGAUGUGAAAUCCCCGGGCUCAACCUGGGAACCGCAUUUGUGACUGCAUAGCUGGAGUGCGGCAGAGGGGGAUGGAAUUCCGCGUGUAGCAGUGAAAUGCGUAGAUAUGCGGAGGAACACCGAUGGCGAAGGCAAUCCCCUGGGCCUGCACUGACGCUCAUGCACGAAAGCGUGGGGAGCAAACAGG